rnacentral:lncRNA from 10 species
CUGGCCCCAGCCCCGAUGCCUGUGAUAACCCAAGGAAGAAGUCAUCAAAUAAACUGACAAACAGCACUCAUCAGCUUGAGAAUUGAAUACCUAAGUAUGAAUUCUAACCUGCUACUUGCCAAUUGUGUGACCGUAGCAUGUUAAUUGGUGUUAUGGAGCCUCAAUUUCUUCUUUUUUACUAAAGGAGGAGGAAGAGGAAGAGGAGGAGGAGAAGGAGAAGAAGAAGAAAAGAAGCACCUGCUGUUCUUCUGCCAUUAAGAUUAUGCAAUAAGAUGAAGGCCUACUGCCUUGGGAGGAGGAGGUAGAUACAGCGUAGGACAAAAUAGUCAUUGCGCAGUUUUAAAUUUCAACUAGAUUUUUUAAAAACCCUUACUGGGGCAAUAGUCUUGAAAGCCAGACUAAAAAAAGAAAUAAAGGAGUUUUCCUAGGACUCCCAAAGUUGGGCCCCUGUAUAAUAGAAACCAAAGCUUAGAUGGUUACUAUGGUCUGAAUGUUUGUGUCUCCCCAAAAUUCAUUAUGUUGAAACCUAAUCCCUAAUAUGAUGGUAUUAAGAGGCGGGGCCUUUGGGAGAUGAUUUGUUCAUGAGGGGAGAGCUCUCAUGAAUGGGAUUAGUGCUCUUAUAAAAGAGGCCCCAGAGAGCUGCCUUGCUCCUUCCAUCAUGUGAGGACACAUCAAGAAAAUGCCAUCUUUCAACCAGGAAGUGGACCCUCAUAAGACACAAAAUCUGCUGGUAUUUUGGUCUUGGACUUUUUCAGCCUCCAGAAAUGUGAG